GUAGGUGGCAAGCGUUGUCCGGAAUUAUUGGGCGUAAAGCGCGCGCAGGCGGUUUCUUUAAGUCUGAUGUGAAAGCCCACGGCUCAACCGUGGAGGGUCAUUGGAAACUGGAGAACUUGAGUACAGAAGAGGAAAGCGGAAUUCCACGUGUAGCGGUGAAAUGCGUAGAGAUGUGGAGGAACACCAGUGGCGAAGGCGGCUUUCUGGUCUGUAACUGACGCUGAGGCGCGAAAGCGUGGGGAGCAAACAGGAUUAGAUACCCUGGUAGUCCACGCCGUAAACGAUGAGUGCUAAGUGUUAGGGGGUUUUCCGCCCCCCUUAGUGCUGCAGCUAACGCAUUAAGCAUCCGCCUGGGAUACGGCCGCAAGGCUG
rnacentral:rRNA from 1 species